AACCCCAGCUGAGCCCUGUAUCGAGCCAUUCGUCUCGCCUCCACAAGCCAGUGUGCCAACGAGCACGAACUCGCUGAGUAAAACACUCCUUCCGCCCCACAUUGUCCAGAACCAGUCGCUUAGGAUCUUCCUCCCCUCCCUGCGAAGCCUUGAAGCCUGAGCUUGGUCUUCUUCUCCUGCCGGAGCGCCGUCGAGCUGAGCCGCCAUUGCUGCCGUGCUCAUCCUCAUGCCGACGGGUCGCCUCUUAGCAUCUCCCUCCAAAUCGAGUACUUGUGCAGAUGGGACGACCUUAGCUGACGGGACUUAUGAGUUGGUGCCGGAGGAGAAUCAAGGAGGAAUCUCUGGAGCCCAAGUGAACCCAGCUGGAAAUUCUAAAGUUCAAGUGACCCAAGCUGGAAUUUCUAAAGAACUGAACCAGAGUGCCACUGCUGAUUUUGCUAACAGUUCACAAGAAGGCAAGCCUCGGAGCAUAAACCUAUAUUUUACCUCUUAUGCAGCUCAUCUAUAUGUUUAUAUAUCUGUACUUGUUGUGCAUUUAAGUUGUAGGAGUUGGAUGAAACUUUAGCUGCAUGAUCAUAGGUACCCUUGUACUGCUCACUAGAAUUCGGUUCGAGUAGUUGCCUUGUUAAAUAGGACCGGUCGGGUAAUUUCCUGCCACUUGCGAGAAAAAUAGGAGUUGUUUGAUCUACUACAUACUGCAACUAUAAGGAUUGAUGGGCGGGGUAAAUGUAAAUGAUGAUAAUGAUGUUGAAGAUGAUGAUUAUGGAACCC